rnacentral:rRNA from 1 species
UCAAGUGAAGAAGCGCAUACGGUGGAUGCCUUGGCAGUCAGAGGCGAUGAAAGACGUGGUAGCCUGCGAAAAGCUUCGGGGAGUCGGCAAACAGACUGUGAUCCGGAGAUGUCUGAAUGGGGGAACCCAGCCAUCAUAAGAUGGUUAUCUUGUACUGAAUACAUAGGUGCAAGAGGCGAACCAGGGGAACUGAAACAUCUAAGUACCCUGAGGAAAAGAAAUCAACCGAGAUUCCCUUAGUAGUGGCGAGCGAACGGGGACUAGCCCUUAAGUGGCUUUGAGAUUAGCGGAACGCUCUGGAAAGUGCGGCCAUAGUGGGUGAUAGCCCUGUACGCGAAAAUCUCUUAGUCAUGAAAUCGAGUAGGACGGGGCACGAGAAACCUUGUCUGAAUAUGGGGGGACCAUCCUCCAAGGCUAAAUACUACUGACUGACCGAUAGUGAACUAGUACCGUGAGGGAAAGGCGAAAAGAACCCCGGAGAGGGGAGUGAAAUAGAUCCUGAAACCGUCUGCGUACAAGCAGUGGGAGCCCACUUGUUGGGUGACUGCGUACCUUUUGUAUAAUGGGUCAGCGACUUAUUUUCAGUGGCAAGCUUAACCGAAUAGGGGAGGCGUAGCGAAAGCGAGUCUUAAUAGGGCGUCUAGUCGCUGGGAAUAGACCCGAAACCGGGCGAUCUAUCCAUGGGCAGGUUGAAGGUUGGGUAACACUAACUGGAGGACCGAACCGACUACCGUUGAAAAGUUAGCGGAUGACCUGUGGAUCGGAGUGAAAGGCUAAUCAAGCUCGGAGAUAGCUGGUUCUCCUCGAAAGCUAUUUAGGUAGCGCCUCAUGUAUCACUGUAGGGGGUAGAGCACUGUUUCGGCUAGGGGGUCAUCCCGACUUACCAAACCGAUGCAAACUCCGAAUACCUACAAGUGCCGAGCAUGGGAGACACACGGCGGGUGCUAACGUCCGUCGUGAAAAGGGAAACAACCCAGACCGUCAGCUAAGGUCCCAAAGUCAUGGUUAAGUGGGAAACGAUGUGGGAAGGCUUAGACAGCUAGGAGGUUGGCUUAGAAGCAGCCACCCUUUAAAGAAAGCGUAAUAGCUCACUAGUCGAGUCGGCCUGCGCGGAAGAUGUAACGGGGCUCAAACCAUGCACCGAAGCUACGGGUAUCACUUAGGUGAUGCGGUAGAGGAGCGUUCUGUAAGCCUGUGAAGGUGAGUUGAGAAGCUUGCUGGAGGUAUCAGAAGUGCGAAUGCUGACAUGAGUAACGACAAUGGGUGUGAAAAACACCCACGCCGAAAGACCAAGGUUUCCUGCGCAACGUUAAUCGACGCAGGGUGAGUCGGUCCCUAAGGCGAGGCUGAAAAGCGUAGUCGAUGGAAAACAGGUUAAUAUUCCUGUACUUCUGGUUAUUGCGAUGGAGGGACGGAGAAGGCUAGGCCAGCUUGGCGUUGGUUGUCCAAGUUUAAGGUGGUAGGCUGAAAUCUUAGGUAAAUCCGGGGUUUCAAGGCCGAGAGCUGAUGACGAGUUACCCUUUAGGGUGACGAAGUGGUUGAUGCCAUGCUUCCAAGAAAAGCUUCUAAGCUUCAGAUAACCAGGAACCGUACCCCAAACCGACACAGGUGGUUGGGUAGAGAAUACCAAGGCGCUUGAGAGAACUCGGGUGAAGGAACUAGGCAAAAUGGCACCGUAACUUCGGGAGAAGGUGCGCCGGUGAGGGUGAAGGACUUGCUCCGUAAGCUCAUGCCGGUCGAAGAUACCAGGCCGCUGCGACUGUUUAUUAAAAACACAGCACUCUGCAAACACGAAAGUGGACGUAUAGGGUGUGACGCCUGCCCGGUGCCGGAAGGUUAAUUGAUGGGGUUAGCUCACGCGAAGCUCUUGAUCGAAGCCCCGGUAAACGGCGGCCGUAACUAUAACGGUCCUAAGGUAGCGAAAUUCCUUGUCGGGUAAGUUCCGACCUGCACGAAUGGCGUAACGAUGGCGGCGCUGUCUCCACCCGAGACUCAGUGAAAUUGAAAUCGCUGUGAAGAUGCAGUGUAUCCGCGGCUAGACGGAAAGACCCCGUGAACCUUUACUAUAGCUUUGCACUGGACUUUGAAUUUGCUUGUGUAGGAUAGGUGGGAGGCUUUGAAGCGUGGACGCCAGUUCGCGUGGAGCCAUCCUUGAAAUACCACCCUGGCAACUUUGAGGUUCUAACUCAGGUCCGUUAUCCGGAUCGAGGACAGUGUAUGGUGGGUAGUUUGACUGGGGCGGUCUCCUCCUAAAGAGUAACGGAGGAGUACGAAGGUGCGCUCAGACCGGUCGGAAAUCGGUCGUAGAGUAUAAAGGCAAAAGCGCGCUUGACUGCGAGACAGACACGUCGAGCAGGUACGAAAGUAGGUCUUAGUGAUCCGGUGGUUCUGUAUGGAAGGGCCAUCGCUCAACGGAUAAAAGGUACUCCGGGGAUAACAGGCUGAUACCGCCCAAGAGUUCAUAUCGACGGCGGUGUUUGGCACCUCGAUGUCGGCUCAUCACAUCCUGGGGCUGAAGCCGGUCCCAAGGGUAUGGCUGUUCGCCAUUUAAAGUGGUACGCGAGCUGGGUUUAGAACGUCGUGAGACAGUUCGGUCCCUAUCUGCCGUGGACGUUUGAGAUUUGAGAGGGGCUGCUCCUAGUACGAGAGGACCGGAGUGGACGAACCUCUGGUGUUCCGGUUGUCACGCCAGUGGCAUUGCCGGGUAGCUAUGUUCGGGAAAGAUAACCGCUGAAAGCAUCUAAGCGGGAAACUUGCCUCAAGAUGAGAUCUCACUGGAACCUUGAGUUCCCUGAAGGGCCGUCGAAGACUACGACGUUGAUAGGUGGGGUGUGUAAGCGCUGUGAGGCGUUGAGCUAACCCAUACUAAUUGCCCGUGAGGCUUGACCCU